rnacentral:lncRNA from 1 species
UGCAAAAUCUCCCAAUUUAUGGCUACCACACUAGGUAAAUACAUGCAUGGUUGUAUCAUAUGAAAUAUCAUAAAAAUCAAACCAUAAUUAAUAAGAUAUAUUUCUUAUACAUUACUAUAUUUCAAUACUUUUAGGUGUAAAUAUUCACAUAAAAAUUGACUAAUUAAUUGUGCCUUUUAGAUGGUCCAGAAGGAGGAAUAGGAAUUCCUUUUGGUAGCAUAGUAUUGAACAAAUUUUUAUCUUUGACAUCAAUCUCUUUCUUUUCACCAGUGUCACCCUUAUUAGGUACUGAGAAUGUCCUAAAAGCUUCUUCCUGCUCUUUCGAAUUCAUCGUCGUCGUCAUCGUCGUGGUUGUCAUCGCCAUUGAUCUCGUUGCAGUACCAUAGCUAAGAACAAGAGAGAGUGUGAUGAUCAAGAACAUGAAUUUCCAUGAAGGAUAAUGAAGGGUUUUGGAAUUGGUAGAAUAAACCAUAUUGGUUUAAAGGGUUUUCUUGAAAUUAUUCUUCUGGGGGUUAUGUUAUGUGUGUAUUUUUCACUUGAUGAGUAUAUGGGGGUUAUAUAUAGAUGAUAGAG